rnacentral:rRNA from 1 species
GAUCGGCCCGCGUCUGAUUAGCUAGUUGGUGAGGUAAUGGCUCACCAAGGCGACGAUCAGUAGCUGGUCUGAGAGGAUGAUCAGCCACACUGGGACUGAGACACGGCCCAGACUCCUACGGGAGGCAGCAGUGGGGAAUAUUGGACAAUGGGCGCAAGCCUGAUCCAGCCAUGCCGCGUGUGUGAUGAAGGCCUUAGGGUUGUAAAGCACUUUCGUCCGGGACGAUAAUGACGGUACCGGAAGAAGAAGCCCCGGCUAACUUCGUGCCAGCAGCCGCGGUAAUACGAAGGGGGCUAGCGUUGCUCGGAAUCACUGGGCGUAAAGGGCGCGUAGGCGGCCAUUCAAGUCAGAGGUGAAAGCCCAAGGCUCAACCUUGGAAUUGCCUUUGAUACUGUUUGGCUUGAGACCGGAAGAGGUUAGUGGAACUGCGAGUGUAGAGGUGAAAUUCGUAGAUAUUCGCAAGAACACCAGUGGCGAAGGCGGCUAACUGGUCCGGUUCUGACGCUGAGGCGCGAAAGCGUGGGGGAGCAAACAGGAUUARAUACCCUGGUA